AUCAACAUUUGGAGAUGUGCCGACAGAUGCACAUCUGCUCAGCAGUGGAUGGAGGACGAUGACAAACGGCGUCUGACCAAAUGACCUUCAUCUGUCAGGAGUUUGACUCGGGGCUCCAGGCUUUAACCACAGCACAAGACUCCUUCUGGAGUAAAUACCUGAAGUCAUCCGGCUGGAGCCGCUCAGACUCAUCUCUGAAGGUCUGGUUGCAUCUGCCGGUUCCUCCAGAUGUUCUGGCCUCGCCACCCUGGUCUGGUGGCACAGAGGUGGAGGCCAGGAGAUCCCAGACGUCCAAAUCAAAGUCUGGGAGGAGAUCCGGUGGGACAGAAAUGCUAUCGAGCCCCCAGUAUGAGUUACUUUGGUGGGGGAGAUCGGAGAUCUUCAAUUUCAACACUUUUCAGUUGUUUUCCAUUGGCAGCAUUUACUGUUUCCAUCAGAAGAACCUCCAUAUGAUGUCUUCACAAAGAUUCUGGGAUGAAUUGGGAUUCCAGUAUUUUCCGGCUCAGACGAGCCUCUUUGUGGUAUUCUGAGGUUUUCCUGCUGCAGCUCGUCUCAUCAACCUAAGGCUCCAAAGCUCAAACUGAAGCUGACUUCUCACCAUAAUGAAGCUGUUCUUGAGGCUGUGGUGCAGUGAGCCGCCUGUCAUGCAGGAGUUAUCUGUCGGUGACACUUGUCCUCUGGUUGAGUUGUGACUUUGUGUCUGCCAGAUGUCUUCCUGUCAGAGUUUUUUCCAGUUUCUGAGCAUCUUUUGGUGGGGUCAGUGAACGACUGCCUUGUUUUUUUGUAAUCUACAUCUUUCAUUGUGAUGAUGGUCUGUCUCUCUUCCGUCUUUAAAACAAAACACCGCAUUCAGCGGUAAAAUACUGUUCAGCUGAAGCUCAGGAGGGUUUGGUGCAGACGGAGAAGGUUGUGGCCAAAAUAAAGCGGAUGUAAAUUCUUUUCUUCCCUCUUCUCCUUUUUGUUUAUCAGGUUGAACUUCUGCACUUUUCUACAAAAGCCUUUAAGCAUCCUCUCUGUUUUUUCUGUCAGGUUGGGUUUUUUUGUGCUUAAAUGUCAGAGUUGUGCUCGUGCUCGGUUCCUUCACACUGCUCGAGUCAUUUUCAUUAUUCGGAGCAGCAGCGCUGCAGCUGGGGAGCUAUGAUGUUCAUCAUAAUGAGUGUUUUUAGAUGAUUUGCACCCCAGUUUACUUAAAGUCAUCUAAAGGUGGAAAUGCUGACGCAGAGCUGAAAGGGAGCUUUUGCACGGCUUCUGGACAGCUUUGACUUCAGAAGGAGGUGUUGGAAUGUCAACACAAGGACUUCACAGAAAAGGAAAACCUUUUUUUUUUUUUCUCUCGCUACUUUUGUUCUGCAAACACAUUUUCCUUUGGGGCUGUGUUUGAGCACAAACCCCCACGGAGGCGGCAGAAAGGGAAAAAUGCUGCAGAUCUAUGAACAAACAGCAGAGGGGAAAAUAAAUUAGUCAGAAUCUCACAUUUUAGUGCUUUGGAGCUGUGUUCAAUGUGAGGGAAAAAAGCAGGUUCUCUUCAGCGAUUUGAAUGUUUUUUAAAUAUUUUUAUGAACUAUUUUCCUGUGGAUUCUAACUGCAUCUUGACCUCUUCUUGACACGAACACAGCUAAUAUUCUAUUUAAAGUUUUGCUCUUUUCUUUUGGCUUUUCAUCAUUCUGAGAUCAAAUAGAAAGAUUGUAGAUGAAGUGAAGCAGCAAUUGGG